rnacentral:rRNA from 1 species
UACGAAGGGGGCUAGCGUUGUUCGGAAUUACUGGGCGUAAAGCGCACGUAGGCGGAUACUUAAGUCAGGGGUGAAAUCCCGGGGCUCAACCCCGGAACUGCCUUUGAUACUGGCAACCUUGAGUCCGGGAGAGGUGAGUGGAACUGCGAGUGUAGAGGUGAAAUUCGUAGAUAUUCGCAAGAACACCAGUGGCGAAGGCGGCUCACUGGCCCGGUACUGACGCUGAGGUGCGAAAGCGUGGGGAGCAAACAGG